GGGCUUGUGGCGGAAUUGGCAGACGCGCCGGAUUCAAAAUCCGGAGUCCUUUCGGACGUGUGGGUUCGACCCCCACCAGGCCCAC
rnacentral:tRNA from 2 species